rnacentral:rRNA from 1 species
GAUGAACGCUAGCGGGAGGCCUAAUACAUGCAAGUCGAACGGUAAGGUUCCUUCGGGAAUACACGAGUGGCGAACGGGUGCGUAACGCGUACGAAACAUGCCUUUAUCAGGAAGAUAGCCUUGGGAAACCGAGAAUAAUAUUCCAUAGUAUUAUAUUACCGCAUGGUAUUUAUAAUUAAAGCUCCGGCGGAUAAAGAUUGUCGUGCGUCCCAUUAGCUAGUUGGUGAGGUAACUGCUCACCAAGGCGACGAUGGGUAACUGGUUUGAGAGGAUGAUCAGUCACACUGGUACUGAGACACGGACCAG